GUUGAAACAUUGGUUCCCAUGUGAUCACUAAAGUUAAACAAGGUUGUGCCUUGUCAGUACCUAGAUGGGUGACCACUUGGGAAAACCAGGUGUUGUAA